rnacentral:tRNA from 1 species
UGCGGGGAUGUGCCCCGGCUGGGCACAGCGGUUACAUACGCCGCUUCCAUGAAGGCGGGUUCGACUCCCGCCCCCGCGA